rnacentral:rRNA from 1 species
GACGAACGCUGGCGGCGUGCUUAACACAUGCAAGUCGAACGAUGAAGCCUAGCUUGCUAGGUGGAUUAGUGGCGAACGGGUGAGUAAUACGUGAGUAACCUACCUUUAACUCUGGGAUAAGCCCGGGAAACUGGGUCUAAUACCGGAUACGACCAAUCUCCGCAUGGGGUGUUGGUGGAAAGCGUUAUGUAGUGGUUAUAGAUGGGCUCACGGCCUAUCAGCUUGUUGGUGAGGUAACGGCUCACCAAGGCGACGACGGGUAGCCGGCCUGAGAGGGUGACCGGCCACACUGGGACUGAGACACGGCCCAGACUCCUACGGGAGGCAACAGUGGGGAAUAUUGCACAAUGGGCGCAAGCCUGAUGCAGCGACGCCGCGUGAGGGAUGACGGCCUUCGGGUUGUAAACCUCUGUUAGCAGGGAAGAAGAGAGAUUGACGGUACCGGCAGAGAAAGCGCCGGCUAACUACGU